CCCGAGUACGCCCUUUCUGGGAAAUAACAAGCACACCCCAAAUUCUACUUGGGCCAGGCUGGAUCCUGGCCGUUGGGGGUUGGAGCCUCUUCCCGGGAACUUCUGCGAAUGCAGAGCGAACUCUGCAGAGGGCUGCAAAGCUUCCAACACAGAGCUCCCGUUUCCGGCCAAGAGGGACUGACAAGGACCUGCUUGCCCUCCUGUUUCUCAAAGCCACCAAAUCCAGACACACAAAACACUCAGAGCAGUUGUUUUCACGACAUCAGGCAAUGGAGGACACUAAUCCCGAGGGAUGGAGAAAAUGAGGUCCAGGCUUCCGCUGGCCUGAGAGACUUCCAGACCUCAGAGCAGGAAGGGGACCCUGCAGAGUCCCACUGGACUUCCUGAGUAGUCAGCAGAGUAUUUUGGGCAGCGAGUUGGUUGCUGUCGGUGGGACAGAGUAGCAAAGAGAAACCCCCCCACCCAAGUGUUUCAUGCCGGGAGGAUCCCUGUCCAGCAGUCAUGAAUUACAUUCCACACGUUGAAAAAGUCUGUAGAGGCAGCUCGGUGGCAGAGGAUAUGUCCAGAACACAGACCCCAUCCACCCUUCCUUCCACACAAAAACAUUGAAGAUAUCAGAGUCCCAGAUUGAGCUAGAGAUAAAAAUGAUGUCUAAAGUUAAGCAACAACUUGGGAUGAGAUUGACAGCUCAUUAGGUGUUACAGAAGACCAUGGACUCAAAAACAGUGCAGUGCAAACUUCAGGGAAUGAAACAGAAGGAAAAAUUACUUGGGCAAAGAAGGAAGGCCACUAAAAAUACAGUAAAUGAAAAGAAAACCGUGACCCAGAAUGAAUUCAACCAGUGUGAAGUGUCUUAGGAAAGAGAACAGAGAGGGGAAAAGCUGUUAGAGGAAUCUGUGGUAGAGAGUCACCACAUUGGAUAUGAAGUUAAAAUCCAGAGUUCCAAAGAAUUUGUUGAACCUCCAGCACAAAAAACGGGCCAGCAGAGACUGACCCCCAUGCCCGAUGACAAGAAUCUAGUCUGUGGGACUCACACAAUAGAAGGGAACUGACUCACACAGACACACACACAUAAUAAAAAUAAGACUGUGUCGGGGCUGGAGAAAUGUAUUAGCAGUUAAGAGCACCGAUUGCUCCUACAGAGGACCUGGGUUUGGGUCCAGCAUCCAUAUGAUGGCUUACAACCAUCUAUAAAUCUAGUUAUAUACAGAAGGUCUGAUGCCUCUCCUGACUUCCAUGGGCACCAGGCAUACACACAUGUAAGUAAGACACUCAUAAACUAAAAUAAGUGGAUGUAUAAAUACAUACAUUCAUGAAUAAUACUAGGGCAAAAUGAUUCAUCAGGUAAAGGCACUUGCUACCAAGCUUGAAGACCUUAGUCCAGUCUCUAGACUCUGGUGGAAGGAGAGAACGGCCUCUCACAGGUGCUCCUCUCAUCUUUACACACACAUUUUGGCAUGCGUAACCCAAUUCCAAAUAAAUAAGUGUUUUUUUUGUU